UGGGGAAUAUUGGGCAAUGGGCGCAAGCCUGACCCAGCAACGCCGCGUGAGGGAAGAAGGCUUUCGGGUUGUAAACCUCUGUCCUUGGUGACGAAAAAAAUGACGGUAGCCAAGGAGGAAGCCCCGGCUAACUACGUGCCAGCAGCCGCGGUAAUACGUAGGGGGCGAGCGCUGUCCGGAAUUACUGGGCGUAAAGGGUGCGUAGGUGGCCUUUUAAGUUGGAUGUGAAAUCCCCGAGCUUAACUUGGGUGGUGCAUCUAAUACUGGAGGGCUAGAGUGCAGGAGAGGAAAGCGGAAUUCCUAGUGUAGCGGUAAAAUGCGUAGAGAUAUGGAGGAACACCAGUGGCGAAGGCGGCUUCCUGGUCCGUAACUGACACUGAGGCGCGAAAGCGUGGGGAGCAAACA
rnacentral:rRNA from 1 species